rnacentral:rRNA from 1 species
ACGGCCGCAAGGUUAAAACUCAAAUGAAUUGACGGGGGCCCGCACAAGCGGUGGAGCAUGUGGUUUAAUUCGAUGCAACGCGAAGAACCUUACCUGGUCUUGACAUCCACAGAACUUUCCAGAGAUGGAUUGGUGCCUUCGGGAACUGUGAGACAGGUGCUGCAUGGCUGUCGUCAGCUCGUGUUGUGAAAUGUUGGGUUAAGUCCCGCAACGAGCGCAACCCUUAUCCUUUGUUGCCAGCGGUCCGGCCGGGAACUCAAAGGAGACUGCCAGUGAUAAACUGGAGGAAGGUGGGGAUGACGUCAAGUCAUCAUGGCCCUUACGACCAGGGCUACACACGUGCUACAAUGGCGCAUACAAAGAGAAGCGACCUCGCGAGAGCAAGCGGACCUCAUAAAGUGCGUCGUAGUCCGGAUUGGAGUCUGCAACUCGACUCCAUGAAGUCGGAAUCGCUAGUAAUCGUGGAUCAGAAUGCCACGGUGAAUACGUUCCCGGGCCUUGUACACACCGCCCGUCACACCAUGGGAGUGGGUUGCAAAAGAAGUAGGUAGCUUAACCUUCGGGAGGGCGCUUACCACUUUGUGAUUCAUGACUGGGGUGAAGUCGUAACAAGGUAACCGUAGGGGAACCUGCGGUUGGAUCAC